GGCCCGGUGGCGGAAUUGGCAGACGCUGGGGACUUAAAAUCCCCUGUCCUUCGGGACGUGUGGGUUCGAACCCCGCCCGGGCCA
rnacentral:tRNA from 1 species